rnacentral:rRNA from 1 species
AUCCGAACUACCUGUAGGCCUAGGGCUGUCGCUGACUUUUCGUCGUGCACGCCCAAAGUGCUCUCAAUCAUCCAUCUCACCCCUAUGUGCACCACCGCGUGGGUCCCCCUUUGGCUUGUCCUCAGGGGGGCUUGCGUUUUCAUACAAACUCGAUACAGUGUAGAAUGUCUUUAUUUUGCGGUAACACGCAAUCAAUACAACUUUCAACAACGGAUCUCUUGGCUCUCGCAUCGAUGAAGAACGCAGCGAAAUGCGAUACGUAAUGUGAAUUGCAGAAUUCAGUGAAUCAUCGAAUCUUUGAACGCACCUUGCGCCCCUUGGCAUUCCGAGGGGCACACCCGUUUGAGUGUCGUGAAAUUCUCAAAACCCUUUCUUUUAAGGAUUUUGGACUUGGAGGCUUUUUUGCUGGCUUCACAUUGAAGCGAGCUCCUCUUAAAUGGAUUAGUGGGGUCUGCUUUGCCGAUCCUUGACGUGAUAAGAUGCUUCUACGUCUCGGGUUUGGCAUCGUGUACCUGCUUCUAACCGUCUCAUCGACAAUGAUGGCGCUCCGGUCACCACCGUUUCAUCGGUGGGAGGCUUGACCCACAAAAAAAACCUUGACCUCAAAUCGGGUGAGACUACCCGCUGAACUUAAGCAUAUCAAAA